rnacentral:rRNA from 1 species
UACGUAGGUGGCAAGCGUUAUCCGGAAUUAUUGGGCGUAAAGAGGGAGCAGGCGGCAGCAAAGGUCUGUGGUGAAAGCCUUCGGCUUAACCGGAGUAGUGCAUUGGAAACUGGGAGACUUGAGUGCAGAAGAGGAGAGUGGAACUCCAUGUGUAGCGGUGAAAUGCGUAGAUAUAUGGAAGAACACCAGUGGCGAAAGCGGCUCUCUGGUCUGUAACUGACGCUGAGGUUCGAAAGCGUGGGUAGCAAACAGG